UACGUAGGGUGCAAGCGUUAAUCGGAAUUACUGGGCGUAAAGCGUGCGCAGGCGGUUUUGUAAGUCUGUCGUGAAAUCCCCGGGCUCAACCUGGGAAUUGCGAUGGAGACUGCAAGGCUAGAGUUUGGCAGAGGGGGGUAGAAUUCCACGUGUAGCAGUGAAAUGCGUAGAGAUGUGGAGCAACACCGAUGGCGAAGGCAGCCCCCUGGGUCAAAACUGACGCUCAUGCACGAAAGCGUGGGGAGCAAACAGG
rnacentral:rRNA from 1 species